rnacentral:tRNA from 1 species
GGAAGGGUGGCAGAGUGGUCUAUUGCAGCGGUCUUGAAAACCGCAGGGGUGCAAGCCUCCGGGGGUUCGAAUCCCUCCCCUUCCGCCA